AAGAAUUCUCCAUGUUUAUCUAUGUUUUCAGAUACUUUAUUUUGAAGCAUUUCUUGACAGUGUCACUUCCGCUUCCUUCCUGUAGGGGUCACUUCCGCUUCCCUUUUGACGUGUGUUAAUGUGUGCUGACUUGUUUCUCUGCUACGUUUAAUCGGUGCUCUAGUCUUUGACGAUAUACUAACUAACUAAAGAAAUGAACCUAAACCAAUAUGCACCAUUAAAGUUGGAAGAGUCCAAAUGA